AGUGACGUGCAAGUAAUCUGAUGGCUGCACACUUAUUAUUUAAACCUUUUCUACUAUACCAAUAUAACAAUAUUACUAAACCAGUAGCCUCCACCAAAAAUUACUCUUCCAGUAAAACCCUACAAGAGCAGCCAGGAAGAUCUCAUAAGCUCAAAAAAAAUUCAGAGAUGGCAGACUGGUCAGAACUCCCUGAGGAACUUAUUUAUCUGAUUGCCGGCACCACCAGAUGAAUUUGAUAGAAGGCAUCGGAGAUCGAGAUCGCAUGCAGGGAUGUUGGAGGAGUGAUGGACUCAGGGAAAGCAGAGGAAUAGAUGAAACAGUGGAGGUUAUUGUAGAUUUUCGAGUUAGUUGUCUGUAAAAUAUUUGUUAUGUUGAAUGUUGAAUGUUGAGUUUUUAUUUAGUGGUAAUGAACUAAUGACUAAUGAAGAAUUGUGCUUUGUUUGUAAAUUACUAUUAGUUUUUUUUA